rnacentral:rRNA from 1 species
GAUGAACGCUGGCGGCGUGCUUAACACAUGCAAGUCGAGCGAGAAGCUAUCUAUUGAACCUUCGGGUGAUUUAGAUAGUGGAAAGCGGCGGACGGGUGAGUAACGCGUGGGUAACCUGCCCUAUGCAGGGGGAUAACACAUUGAAAAGUGUGCUAAUACCGCAUAAGACCACAGAGUCGCAUGACUCAGUGGUAAAAACUCCGGUAGCAUAGGAUGGACCCGCGUCUGAUUAGCUAGUAGGUAAGGUAACGGCUUACCUAGGCGACGAUCAGUAGCCGACCUGAGAGGGUGAUCGGCCACAUUGGGACUGAGACACGGCCCAAACUCCUACGGGAGGCAGCAGUGGGGAAUAUUGCACAAUGGGGGAAACCCUGAUGCAGCGACGCCGCGUGAAGGAAGAAGGUUUUCGGAUCGUAAACUUCUAUCAGCAGGGAAGAUAGUGACAGUACCUGACUAAGAAGCCCCGGCUAACUACGUGCCAGCAGCCGCGGUAAUACGUAGGGGGCAAGCGUUAUCCGGAUUUACUGGGUGUAAAGGGUGCGUAGGCGGCGAAGUAAGUCAGAUGUGAAAGCCCGAGGCUCAACCUCGGGACUGCAUUUGAAACUGC